rnacentral:rRNA from 1 species
UACGGAGGGGGCGAGCGUUAUUCGGAAUCAUUGGGCGUAAAGAGCGCGCAGGCGGUUUGGUAAGUCGGAUGUGAAAUCCCGGGGCUCAACCCCGGACCUGCAUCCGAUACUGCCCGACUAGGGGUAGGUAGGGGAGAUCGGAAUUCCUGGUGUAGAGGUGAAAUUCGUAGAUAUUGGGAAGAACACCGGUGGCGAAGGCGGCUCUCUGGACCGGAUCUGACGCUGAGGCGCGAAAGCGUGGGGAGCAAACAGG